AGGAGUUGCCACCGAGAUCGGACACCGGAGAGAGAGCUUCUAAUGUCGCGUAAAGUAAGGCCGAUCUCCGGUCACCCGGCGAGGCGGAUGACAACAGCGUCCUUGUAGGCAGGCUGGCUGGAGUGUCGGGCUUCAGGAGACGCGGAGGGGAACCGGAGUAGAGAUAUAUGAGCUCUUUGAAAGCAGAACACUGUUGUUUCCAUGUUCUGACCAUUCAGAGAUUAUGAAGGCACAGUUCCUGCCUUUGAUUUGCUUACAGUCAAGCGGAGUAGACACAGGUCAUCGUGGCAGUAUAGCCACUUAAGUAUUCUGAAGGAGAUUUAUCAGCAGGUUGCAGGUGAACAUGGCCUUGAGCCAGGCGGGUCUCCUGGUUCCUCCAGUACAGGAAGCUCACGCCUGCACAGGGGCCAGGUGCUGCCUCCAUCCACUGUCUCAGGCCUCAGCCCUUCCCAUGCAUCAGGUCUCAGUUCAGACGUCUACUCUAUCCAAAGUUAUUAUUUCUGCCUCCCCCAGCCCCACACAGGCUCACCCACAACCAAGAAACACUCCUUGUUUUUCUUCCAUAAUUAUUCUCCAGUGGCAGCACCUCCCUCCAUCCCAAGCUUUCAAGAACAUCCUUAUUUUCAAAUUCUGAAAUUGUUCAGUCCCGGUAAGACUUAAAGGAAUGAACUCGGCCUUUCCUUGCUGGUUAAGGGCUGGAAGACCCUAACGUGACAAAGAUGAGAAGAGAAAGAACAUGUAUCCCUACGUGAUGGAGUUCAGGAUGCACAGACGAUGCCCUUCUAUACCCUGCAGAGAAGAGCCCCAUCAUGGGAUGCAGUAAGAAGAGGGAUGGCUCCAGAUGGAAGCAGGAGGGUGAUGGUCUGCAUGGGACCUGGACAUAGGAGGGUGAGGAAAAAUCUCCAUGUUUCUCAAGCGCUGACUUGGGCGAUAGUGCCUUUCCUUCCAAAAGACUGGGCCUGAUUACUUGGGCAACACUGUCCCUAGACCACCCAAAGGACUUCAUAGCUCAGCGAAAUCUCCCCUUGACCCAGUGAGUCUAAGAAUGGCCUCCAAGAUUUAUAAUUAAGGACAUUCAUUGCAGUAUGGUUUAUAAUGGUGAAAAACCUAGAAAUGUCUUGGCAUCCAACAGUUGAGGAUUAAGGAAACAGAUUAAGGUAUAUAGCCAUCAAAGUGAUAUUGUAAAAGAAUUUAUCAGUGCAAGAAAAUAUUCAUCACAACUGUUUUGCUAAAAAAAAAAGCAGAUUACAAAACAGAAUAAUUCCAUUUUUAUUUUUUAAAAAUCUGUAUAAAGGAAAAACCCAAAAUGAUAUACAAAACAUUGUUCAGAAUGUUGCUGGGUGUUGCUGUUGAGAAAGGGAAGGUGAGCAAUCAAUAAAAGCUAAAUUGUCGUAUCAUUCUUAAACAUAAGUUAUCACAAUAAGAUUUUUAAGAGCUACCUGGCACCAUGUGACGUGCUGUACAUACAUUACCUUAUUUAUUUCCCACCAUGUCCCCAUGAGUCAUAAUUAUGUCCAUUUUACAGACAAGGAAACUAAGGCUCAGAGAGGUUAGCUAAGUUGUCCAGGGACACACAGCUAGGAAGUAGCAGGGCUGGGAUUCUCACCAGCUCCAUAGGAUUCCAAAGCCCAUCUCUUAACCCUA